rfam:Schistosoma mattheei strain Denwood, Zambia genome assembly, scaffold: SMTD_scaffold0006780
AUCCAGCUGAUGAGUCUCAACUAGGACGAAACGUGCGUUCUGGAU